AAUCCAUCAUUGAUAUUUAGUAGCAACCUAAUUUGAAAGGCAACUAUGACUAAAUCUUGGUCUUUGAAAAGUGGUAUAGGUCAAUCCAGAAAAUAAUCUUCUAGUAGAAUGGAUCGUCACUAGGCUUACUACUUAGUAGGUUAAGUUGACAGAGACUAAGUAUAUAAUAAUUAAUAAGUGAAAGCAAGCCAAUAAACAACCAUAUUAUUUUUUGUUCACAGUCCAUUAUGUGAGGGCUAUUUUCUGCCCCAGAAGAGGCUGUAUAUAUUCCUACAACACAUUUUGCAGGAGAUGAAGAACCCAUUUCACAGGGGAUUCAUGUGCCAUGACCUGAACCCAUGACAGAAGAACUUCUUUCGCUAAACAUGGAGCUGUUCUAUCUGUCCGGGAUGCCAUCCACUCAUCUCUAUCCACUGAAGUCCAACCAUCAUUGUCUAGCUCAGUUCUUUGAACUCAGUGGGAGGCCAGUCUGAACUGACUGAAAGAGAAGAUUGAAUUAUUUUGAAGAUUCCCAUGCCAUACUAUUUGAAGAUCUUGUUCUCUGUCAGAAUAAAGGUACACAUCUCGAUGCUCUGAUACUGCUU
rnacentral:lncRNA from 1 species